UACGGGGGGGGGCAAGCGUUGUCCGGAUUUACUGGGCGUAAAGAGCGCGCAGGCGGUCGUUCAAGUCGCGUGUGAAAGCCCCCGGCUCAACUGGGGAGGGUCACGCGAUACUGAUCGACUGGAAGGCAGGAGAGGGUAGUGGAAUUCCCGGUGUAGUGGUGAAAUGCGUAGAUAUCGGGAGGAACACCAGUGGCGAAGGCGACUACCUGGCCUGUUCUUGACGCUGAGGCGCGAAAGCUAGGGGAGCAAACGGG
rnacentral:rRNA from 1 species